ACCUGUUCCCGAUGCCCAGAAGGGCCUCGGAAGGGGCUUCUGUAAGGGAGCAGCCUGCUGGGCCAGGUUAAUGGCAGGCGUGCUUUUUUUGGAAUUCACCUUCAUCUUAUGCUGUGUCUACAUUAAUUAUUAUUGGAAGAGAAAAUGGUGCUCCUGUGCAUCGUCAGCAGAUGAGCCUAAGAACACAGGCAGCGGGAGCUUGACAGUUUAUCCCAGCUCUCCACUUCUGCCCCUAUCUGCCCUGCCGUGGCUGCAGCAGCGUCAGGAGGCCGUCCCAAAACCCACCCUCCUCAACGCGACCCUCUGCCCCUGAGCCUCCUGGUCCUGUUCCCCGGCCAGGAAUGAAGAUGGGCAUCCCCUGUCUGCCAGGGCAGGGCUUGGCCCAUAUUUCAUAUUCAAAUAAAAGAAUAAAGUUUUCACAA